CGUCGUCAAUGUUGCUCUGUUGCUCCAGUAGCGGAAUUGGCUGUUUUUCUCUCUAGAAUAAAUGUUAAAUGCCUCUAAACACAGAAACAAAUUAAAGACGUUUCCUGGUAAAAUGUGCAGUGGAAAUCGCCAGUUUACGUUUCGACGUGCAGUGAACACCAAAUAUUAUAAAAAUACAAUAACCAGUUGUAUAUUACCAGUGUGGGCAAAUUGCCAAGAUUAUGAUGGGCGGAAAAGAGGAUUAAGAUACGGAAUACCCAAGGUCUCCGGAUCCGGUUACCUAACGGCAGCCAUCUUCUGAAUUUAAGCCACACACAUGAAAAAAUACAGCUGAAAAGGACUUGGCACCAGGAUUCAGAAGAACUCCUGAACUCAAUUUUGGACUAACCAUGAAAUCUGCUGGAAUCCCAAAAUUCUGUUUAAAAAAAAAAAAAGAAAAAAACAAACAA